CAGGGUUCUUUAAUCUGUUUCUCUAUAAGAACACUCAAUUUUCACGCUUUCUGUCUUCUUUCUUCCAGGGCUCUCCCCUUGCCCUAGGCUCUGGCCGUUGCGCCCGGCGGGGUCAACUCCAUGAUUAGCAUGGAGCUGUAGGAGUCUAAAUUGGGGACGCAGAUGUUUGGGACGUCACCUUGCAGUGUUAACUUGGCUCUCAUGAACCUCUUUGAUCUUCCACAAGGGGUAGGCUACGGGUGAAACCUCUUAGGCUAAUACUUCUAUGAAGAGAUGCCUUGGAUAGGGUAACAGCGGCGGAUAUUGGUGAGUUGUUAAGACAAAAACCAUUCAACGCCGGAGGACUGGCUCUCAUCCAGUGGAUGCAUUGAGUGAAUUGAUUGUCAGGGCUGUCUCUAGGUUUAAUCCCAGACCUCUCUGUGCUUAGGGCAAACACUAUUUGGCCUUAAAUGGGAUCCUGUGAGAGGGGGUCCCUCCAUUGCCAGCUGGACUGUUCUUUGGGGCCUUAUGUGGUGUUUGCCUCUGAGGUACUCAGGGGCAUUUAGGUUUUUCCUCAUUCUUAAAUAAUAAUG
rfam:Hepatitis A virus isolate LT38/WT polyprotein gene, complete cds.